rnacentral:lncRNA from 1 species
UUGUAUUUGGAAGUAAAAUAUAAUAAGUAUUUGGGAUGUAAAAUGUAUCUAGUGAAUGUGAAUGCUUGUAACAGCAAGUAGAUUAUGUUUUUGAUACUUCCUUAUGCAAUCUUUGAUUGAAAUGUGUUCCUGGUUGGAACUUCGUACACUGUAUUGAUUGCGACGCCUUGGACGUACAGGGGAGACUCUAUCCGCGGGGCAGGGGAAACCGUGUCCGUUCGGCGGUCUGUCGGCGGCACCGCGACCCGGCCAAAUAGGCGGGUGGUCGUGGGUUGUGACAGAUAAGAUGGUAUCAGAGCAUAAAAGAAACAUAAAAGAAUAAUAGAAAAUAGUUUAAUUGGACCUAGGAGACCCUAGGAUAGCAAACCAUAGGAGAUUAAGGCUCGUGAGAGACGAGGACUUGUGACUUUUGGCGAAAGGUUAAUUGAUUGGGUUGUGUCAUAAACCUCUAAAACGGAUGUUAGAGGUAGACUCAGGGUGAGGUUUAUUCUCAACAGAGGGUGUUCAUGUUGGGUGCACACAACAUGAAGCCAAGUGAUGAGAAUAGACGCCCUUGCGUGACUUUCGCCCGAUUUGAGUCGGUAUUAAGUGUCUUGUGUUCGACCUAGAAGGUCGAGGAUUAAUAGAGUUGUCGUGUUUUAGGAAGCGAUAGCACUGCAUAGGCGAUCUUUAUUUAGAUCGGCGCGGGAUGGGCCAAGUGGUGUCCCUGGGCAGUUUGAGGCGAGCGGAGACUUGGAACUUCGCGAGUUUUGGCAGCUCUCAUGACCUUUGAGAAAUUAACAGAAUUCUCGUCGUGUUAGAUCACUUUUGGUCAAAUUAACCAAAGUGCAAGGUUGGUAUGCUUCGGUAAGGCCGAAGG